UCGAGAGGCUUUGGCAAUGGGGGAAACCCUGACGCAGCGACGCCGCGUGUGGGAUGAAGGUCUUCGGAUUGUAAACCACUGUCGCGAGGGACGAAGCUCUGACGGUACCUCGAAAGGAAGCACCGGCUAACUCUGUGCCAGCAGCCGCGGUAAUACAGAGGGUGCGAGCGUUGUCCGGAAUCACUGGGCGUAAAGGGCGCGUAGGCGGCCCGGUAAGUAGGGGGUGAAAUCUCAUGGCUCAACUGUGAGGCUGCCUUCUAGACUGCCAGGCUUGAGCACAGUAGAGGCGAGUGGAACUCCCGGUGUAGCGGUGGAAUGCGUAGAGAUCGGGAAGAACAUCGGUGGCGAAGGCGGCUCGCUGGGCUGUUGCUGACGCUGAGGCGCGAAAGCGUGGGGAGCAAACAGGAUUAGAUACCCGGGUAGUCCCUGAGCGGGCUGGCAAGGCGCAU
rnacentral:rRNA from 1 species